CGCGUGGUAGCCGAGCGGGGUCCCGAACUGCUGCGGGCCCUGGUAAUAGGAGGAGGGCGCCGCCUGCGACAGACGGACGGACGGACGGAAGGUUACGUUGUGAGGCGUGGCGGCGCAAAGGCCUGGUGCCGCGCGCUCCUACCUGCCCGAGGAACUUUGGACCAAUCGGUACGCACCUUGGGCCGGUGGAGGCGGGGCAUACGGAGGCGGGUGCUCACAACUCAUCUGGAAGGACAAAAAUGAUGUCACGGAUGACCACGUCAGGGGGACGGCGCCAACGCCGGCCGGCGGACAAUGGCGGCCUGUCAGCCGCGCAUAGCGCAGCUAAUCCAAUUGAGACAAAACCACUCCCUCCCGCUCUCCUCCCUCACGAUGACGUCAAGAGUGCCC